UGGGCUUUUGAACCUCAUUUUGAGAAACGCUUUUUUCAAGAUAUUCUUUUGUCCUCCAGUUAAACAGUAGAACGUGUGUUCUUGGUAUAAUAUUUUAAGAUGGUAAAAGCAGAAAUUUACAACUUUAUGAACAUUUUUAAACAAAUUUUACAUGACCUCAUUAGAUACCUUCUCUAUUCCCCUCAACAAAAUCUUAUCAGUUUUCUGCCAAUGAUAUCCAAAUGAUGAGCAUUUUUUUCUUUGAUGAGGUUUUCACCAUUAUCCAUGGUAGUCUUUUGUUUUUCAAUUUUUUAAGUAAUAAGAUUAACUAUAGUUUAUAGAGAACUGCAUUACAAAUGUUUUCAACUAUUUUUAUAGUAUUUAAGUGUUACAUCAGUUCUUUUCAUGUCAUAUAGAAAUUGUCUCAAAAUACUGUUUAGGGGAAUAAGUCAGUUUAUAGUCAGAAUGCUUGACAUUCUGAUGUUCUAAAAAAGUUUAUUUUGCAUAAUCCUGUAGUCAGAUCAUUUUAUGCAUAUGUACCUUGGGUUAAAUUUCAAGUACUGUGUUCAGUGCUGGUAUAUUUACUGUAUAAAUUUGUUUUGUUUUGAUUUCUGUCAUAUAGAACACGGCCUUGAUCAUCAUAAUGUAAUCUGUGUUAUCUUCUUUUUUCACAUUUACAGCCUUUAAAUAAAACAUUUAAUAUAAAUAAACAUUAGUUGGGUCAAAACUUUAUUACAACUAACAAAAAAUUUUGAUUAAGAAAACUGGAAAUUAUUUCACCUUACUGAUCCACAGGCACUAUUAUUCAGUUUCAAAUGUAACUUUGAUAAUUAAAACUAAACCAAAAGGCAUACUUAUGAAGAUCUUAAAUGCCCAUGAAAACUUGGAUUGGUCGUUAGUUGGUCCAAAGUACAUUAAUAAAGUUCCUAAACUGAAAAAAAAUUAUCAUGGCAAAUAUUACUGACAUUUUUCACAUAAUAUCAAAAUAUUUCAUAAUGAAAAAAACAGUGAUCCUGUCUUUAUACAUGACUAAAGCAGUUACUGUACUAAAUAGGAUAUCUAAAAUUAUAGUGCCACCUACAGG
rnacentral:lncRNA from 1 species